rnacentral:rRNA from 1 species
GUUGAUUAUCUUGUUUUAUUUGUUUGUUUUUUAUUGGAUUUUUUUUGAAGAAUCAUUUUGGUUGUUGUAUAUUUUUGAUUUAAUUUUUAUAACGAUAGUUUAUUUGUACCGUGAGGGGUCAAUUUGUUUUAAUGUUUUUUUAGAAGUAGAUUUUGUUUGUCGUACCUUGUGUAUCAGGGUUCAUUGAAUUUUAUUAUUUAUUUUUAUUUCCCGAUUUAAGAGGAGUUAAUAAUUUGUGUUAUUUACUGUUUCAUUAGUAUUAAUAACAUAUUGUUGGUAGUGAAAUGUUAUUCGUCUUUUAUGGUUUCUGGUUUCUUGAGAAAUGAAUUUAAUUCAUGUAUUUUAUUUAACUUCUGUUGUUGGUUGCACUUAAUGUUUUAUUUUAUGCUAAGAUUAGGGGGGAUUAGCUCCCUAUUUUAUUAUUAUAAUUUAUUUGAUUAAUUUAGUUUUGUGGAUUUUAUAUUGAUUUUCAAUUUGAUUAUGUUAAAAUUUUAUUUGUUCUUUUUUUUAUUUGGGUUUUAUUUAAUUUAUUUAUUGGGAUGUUUACUUUUCUUUUAUUUGUAUGGUAAUUAUUGUGUAAUUAGUAAAUUUUUCUUUUUGUGUUGUUUUCUUGUUUUGGUGUUAAUUUCUUUUUAGGAAUUCGGCAAAUUUUUAUGCCCGCCUGUUUAACAAAAACAUCUUUUCUUGUUAGUUUUUGAAGUAUGGCCUGCCCACUGACUUGUUUGUUGAAGGGCCGCGGUAUUUUGACCGUGCAAAGGUAGCAUAAUCAUUAGUUCUUUAAUUGUGAUCUGGUAUGAAUGGCUUGACGAGGUAUAAGCUGUCUUAAUAGUAUUGUUUAUUGAAUUUAGUUUUUGAGUUAAAAUUCUUAGAUGUUUUUAUGGGACGAGAAGACCCUAUAGAGUUUUACAUUUAUUUCUACAUAGUUUUAAUUUGUUUGUUGUUUAUUUUUUGGUUGAUUAAAAUGUUUUGUUGGGGUGAUGGGAGGAAUUUUUUUAACUCCUCUUUUUUUUUGUAUACUUAUUUGUAUUUUUUUGAUCCAUUUGUUUUGAUUAUAAGAUUAAAUUACCUUAGGGAUAACAGCGUUAUCUUCCUUGAGAGUUCUUAUUGGCGGGGAGGUUUGCGACCUCGAUGUUGGAUUAAGGUGAAUUUUCGGUGCAGAAGCUGAAAUUGAUUAGGUCUGUUCGACCUUUAAAAUCUUACAUGAUCUGAGUUCAGACCGGCGUGAGCCAGGUUGGUUUCUAUCUAUAAAUUUUUAUUAUACCUUAGUACGAGAGGACCGGGUAUUUGGAAUAAUUUUAUUACUGUUGAAUAUCUUUAAUAGGUUACUAUUUUGGCAGAUAAGUGCGUUGGAUUUAGAAUCUAUUAAUG